ACUCUAUGUAUUAACGAGCGGAAAUCAUCGAGGUAUUUGUGUAAAUAGAUAUAAUCCAUGUAAUCGCAGAAACUAUCAAAAUCAAAAAAGAAGUGACAAUAGUUACUAUAAGUAUACGAAAGAACCCUUUUUUUCGAAUUCCUAUGAUGCAAUUGGGGCUUAUCGGCAGAAACGAAUCAAUUUAGAUAGUCCUUUGUGGCUCCGGUGGCGACUAGAUCAACGCGUUAUUGCUUCAAGAGAAACUCCCAUCGAAGUUCACUAUGAAUCUUUAGGUACUUUUUAUGAGAUUUAUGGACACUAUCUAAUAGUAAGAAGUCUAAAAAAAAAAUACUUUUUAUAUACAUUCGAACCACUGUUGGUCAUAUUGCUCUUUAUCGAGAAAUCGAAGAAGCUAUACAGGGGUUUUCUCGGGCCUAUUCAUAUGCUACCUAAUUCUAUGAUACCGUGGGACUUCGGGGCUCUCCGGUUCAGCUAGGUCCAUAGUUCCGGAAUUUAUACGCGAAUCAAGAUCGAUAAAAGGAAGUUUUACAAUCACCGACUCAAACCCAUUGUCGAAUCCUACUCAGCGGAAUAUGGAGGUACUUAUGGCAGAACGGGCCAAUCUGGUCUUUCACAAUAAAGCGAUAGACGGAACUGCCAUGAAACGACUUAUUAGUAGAUUAAUAGAGCACUUCGGAAUGGCAUAUACAUCACAUAUCCUGGAUCAAGUAAAAACUCUGGGGUUCCAACAAGCUACUGCUACAUCCAUUUCAUUAGGAAUUGAUGAUCUUUUAACAAUACCUUCUAAGGGAUGGCUAGUUCAAGAUGCUGAACAACAAAGUUUGAUUUUGGAAAAACACCAUCAGUAUGGAAAUGUACACGCGGUAGAAAAAUUACGUCAAUCCAUUGAAAUAUGGUAUGCUACAAGUGAAUAUUUGCGCCAAGAAAUGAAUCCGAAUUUUAGGAUGACUGACCCUUUUAAUCCAGUUCAUAUAAUGUCUUUCUCGGGAGCUCGAGGAAAUGCAUCUCAGGUACAUCAAUUAGUAGGUAUGAGAGGAUUAAUGUCGGAUCCUCAAGGACAAAUGAUUGAUUUACCUAUUCAAAGCAAUUUACGCGAAGGACUCUCUUUAACAGAAUACAUCAUUUCUUGCUACGGAGCCCGUAAAGGAGUUGUGGAUACUGCUGUACGAACAUCAGACGCUGGAUAUCUCACUCGCAGACUUGUUGAAGUAGUUCAACACAUUGUUGUACGUCGAACGGAUUGUGGCACCGCCCGGGGUAUUUCUGUGAGUCCUCGGAAUGGGAUAAUGCCGGAAAGGAUUUUUAGUCAAACAUUAAUUGGCCGUGUAUUAGCAGAUGAUAUAUACAUGGGUUCACGAUGUAUUGCCACUAGAAACCAAGCCAUUGGCAUUGGACUUGUAAAUCGAUUCAUAACCUUUCGGGCACAACCAAUCUCUAUUCGAACUCCCUUUACUUGUAGGAGUACAUCUUGGAUUUGUCGAUUAUGUUAUGGGCGUAGUCCUACUCAUGGCGACCUGGUUGAAUUGGGGGAAGCUGUAGGUAUUAUUGCAGGUCAAUCGAUUGGAGAACCGGGUACUCAAUUAACAUUACGAACUUUUCAUACCGGAGGAGUAUUCACGGGGGGUACUGCAGAACAUGUGCGAGCCCCAUCUAAUGGAAAAAUAAAAUUCAAUGAGGACUUGGUUCAUCCGACACGUACACGUCAUGGGCAUCCCGCCUUUCUAUGUUCUAUAGACUUGUAUGUAACUAUUGAGAGUGAAGAUAUUCUACAUAAUGUGAAUAUUCCACCCAAAAGUUUGCUUUUAGUUCAAAACGAUCAAUACGUAGAAUCAGAACAAGUAAUUGCUGAGAUUCGCGCAGGAAUAUCCACUUUGAAUUUUAAAGAGAAGGUUCGAAAACAUAUUUAUUCUGAUUCAGACGGAGAAAUGCACUGGAGUACCGAUGUCUAUCAUGCACCCGAAUUUACAUAUGGUAAUGUUCAUCUAUUACCAAAAACAAGUCAUUUAUGGAUAUUAUUAGGAGGGCCGUGCAGGUCCAGUCUAGUCUACCUUUCGAUCCACAAGGAUCAGGAUCAAAUGAAUGCGCAUUCUCUUUCUGGCAAGCGAAGAUAUACUUCUAACCUCUCAGUAACCAAUGAUCAGGCGAGGCAGAAAUUGUUUAGUUCGGAUUUUUAUGGUCAAAAAGAAGAUAGGAUUCCUGAUUAUUCAGACCUUAAUCGAAUCAUAUGUACUGGCCAGUAUAAUCUCGUAUAUUCGCCUAUUCUUCACGGGAAUUCUGCUUUAUUGUCAAAAAGGCGAAGAAAUAAAUUCAUCAUUCCACUACACUCGAUUCAAGAACUCGAGAAUGAACUAAUGCCCUGUUCAGGUAUCUCGAUUGAAAUCCCCGUAAAUGGUAUUUUCCGUCGAAAUAGUAUUCUUGCUUAUUUCGAUGAUCCUCGAUACAGAAGAAAGAGUUCGGGCAUUAUUAAAUAUGGGACUAUAGAAACGCAUUCAGUCAUCAAAAAAGAGGAUUUGAUUGAGUAUCGAGGAGUCAAGGAAUUUAGGCCAAAAUACCAAAUGAAAGUAGAUCGAUUUUUUUUCAUUCCUGAAGAGGUGCAUAUCUUGCCCGGAUCUUCUUCCCUAAUGGUACGGAACAAUAGUAUCGUUGGGGUCGAUACACAAAUCACCUUAAAUCUAAGAAGCCGAGUCGGUGGGUUGGUCCGGGUGGAGAGAAAAAAAAAACGAAUUGAACUGAAAAUCUUUUCUGGAGAUAUCCAUUUUCCUGGAGAGACGGAUAAGAUAUCCAGGCAUACCGGCGUUUUGAUACCACCAGGAACAGGAAAAAGAAAUUCCAAGGAAUACAAAAAAGUUCAAAAUUGGAUCUAUGUCCAACGAAUUACACCUAGUAAGAAAAGGUUUUUUGUUUUAGUUCGACCUGUCGUCACAUAUGAAAUAACGGACGGUAUAAAUUUAGGAACCCUUUUUCCACCGGAUCCAUUGCAGGAAAGGGAUAAUGUGCAACUUCGAAUUGUCAAUUAUAUCCUUUAUGGAAAUGGCAAACCGAUUCGAGGAAUUUCUGACACAAGUAUUCAAUUAGUUCGGACUUGUUUAGUAUUGAAUUGGAACCAAGACAAAAAAAGUUCUUCUUGCGAAGAAGCCCGUGCUUCUUUUGUUGAAAUAAGGACAAAUGGUUUGAUUCGACAUUUCCUAAAAAUCAACUUAGUGAAAUCCCCUAUUUCGUAUAUCGGAAAAAGGAAUGAUCCGUCGGGGUCAGGAUUGCUCUCUGAUAAUGGAUCGGAUUGUACCAAUAUCAAUCCCUUUUCUGCUAUUUAUUCCUAUUCCAAGGCAAAAAUUCAACAAUCUCUUAACCAACCUCAAGGAACUAUUCAUACGUUGUUGAAUAGAAAUAAGGAAUGUCAGUCGUUGAUAAUUUUGUCAGCAGCCAAUUGUUCUCGAAUGGAGCCAUUCAAAGAUGUAAAAUAUCACAGUGUGAUAAAAGAAUCAAUUAAAAAAGAUCCCCUAAUUCCAAUUAGGAAUUCAUUGGGCCCUUUAGGAACAUGCCUUCCAAUUGAGAAUUUUUAUUCAUCUUACCAUUUAAUAACUCAUAAUCAGAUCUUAGUAACUAAAUAUUUGCAACUUGACAAUUUAAAACAGACUUUUCAAGUGAUUAAAUUAAAAUAUUAUUUAAUGGAUGAAAAUGGAAAAAUUUUUAAUCCCGAUCCAUGCCGUAACAUUAUUUUAAAUCCAUUCAAUUUGAAUUGGUCUUUUCUCCAUCACUAUUAUUGUGCAGAGACAUCUAAAAUAAUUAGUCUUGGACAGUUUAUUUGUGAAAAUGUAUGUAUAGCCAAAAAUGGACCGCCCCUCAAAUCGGGUCAAGUUAUACUUGUUCAAGUUGACUCGAUAGUGAUACGAUCAGCUAAGCCUUAUUUGGCCACCCCCGGAGCAACUGUUCAUGGCCAUUAUGGGGAAACCCUUUACGAAGGAGAUACAUUAGUUACAUUUAUAUAUGAAAAAUCGAGAUCUGGUGAUAUAACACAGGGUCUUCCAAAAGUAGAACAGGUCUUAGAAGUGCGUUCGAUUGAUUCAAUAUCCAUGAAUCUAGAAAAGAGGGUUGAGGGUUGGAACAAAUGUAUACCAAGAAUUCUUGGAAUUCCUUGGGGAUUCUUGAUUGGUGCUGAGCUAACUAUAGCGCAAAGCCGAAUCUCUUUGGUUAAUAAAAUCCAACAGGUUUAUCGCUCCCAGGGGGUGCAGAUUCAUAAUAGGCAUAUAGAAAUUAUUGUACGUCAAAUAACAUCAAAAGUGUUGAUUUCAGAAGAUGGAAUGUCUAAUGUUUUUUCACCCGGAGAACUUAUUGGAUUGUUGCGAGCAGAACGAAUGGGGCGCGCUUUGGAAGAAGCGAUCUGUUACCGAGUCGUCUUAUUGGGAAUAACAAGAGCAUCUCUCAAUACUCAAAGUUUCAUAUCUGAAGCAAGUUUUCAAGAAACUGCUCGAGUUUUAGCAAAAGCGGCUCUCCGGGGUCGUAUCGAUUGGUUGAAAGGCCUGAAAGAGAACGUUGUUUUGGGGGGGGUGAUACCCGUUGGUACCGGAUUCAAGGGAUUAGUGCACCCUUCAAAACAACAUAACAACAUUCCUUUGGAAACAAAAAAAACAAAUCUAUUCGAGGGGGAGAUGAGAGAUAUUUUGUUCCACCACAGAAAAUUAUUUGAUUCUUGUCUUUCAAAAAAAUUCCACGACAUACCCGAACAAUCAUUUAUAGGAUUUAAUGAUUCCUAACAACGGAUUCGUCUCUUUCGCUAUCUGCAUUUGGUAUGGUUAUUUGCUUUGGUAAUAAAAAGAAUAAUGAAUAGAAAAGAAUAAUGGUUUGGGUCGUGUAUCUACGUCCAAUCUACAGUAGAAGAGAAGGUUCCAUCGGAACAAUUAUUUAUUUCAGUUCAGGGUUCCUCGUCUCUUUUUUUUUUUGAAAAAGAAUAAAAAAAGGGGGGGAGGUUGUGGGGAGAAAUGACAAGAAGAUAUUGGAACAUA
rnacentral:lncRNA from 1 species